GGGCCCGCACAAGCGGUGGAGCAUGUGGUUUAAUUCGAUGAUACGCGAGGAACCUUACCAGGGCUUAAAUGCAGAACGACCGGGAUGGAAACAUCCCUUUCUUCGGACGGUCUGCAAGGUGCUGCAUGGUUGUCGUCAGCUCGUGCUGUGAAGUGUCGGGUUAAGUCCCAUAACGAGCGCAACCCCUAUUUCUAGUUGCCAGCGGUUCGGCCGGGGACUCUAGAGAAACUGCCAGCGUAAGCUGUGAGGAAGGUGGGGAUGACGUCAAAUCAUCACGGCCUUACGUCCUGGGCCACACACGUGCUACAAUGCGGCGUACAAAGCGAUGCAAGAUCGUGAGAUGGAGCA
rnacentral:rRNA from 1 species